GACGCACCGUGCAAACGUUAUUCGGAAUCACUGGGCUUAAAGGGCGCGUAGGCGGGCCGCCAGGUCCGGGGUGAAAGCCUCCAGCUCAACUGGAGAAGUGCCUUGGAUACCGGCGGCCUCGAGGGAGGUAGGGGCGUGCGGAACUUCGGGUGGAGCGGUGAAAUGCGUAGAUAUCCGAAGGAACACCGGUGGCGAAAGCGGCGCGCUGGAUCUCUUCUGACGCUGAGGCGCGAAAGCCAGGGGAGCAAACGGG
rnacentral:rRNA from 1 species